UGGAAAAUAAAAACGAGAAAGCCGAAGUAUGAAGUUAGGGCCUGACUUGAAGUCACGGCAUUGACGUGGACGUCAACCCGGUUACUGUACACCCGGAUUGUCUGCCGACCGGGUGUACGGUAACUGGGUUGACGUCCACGUCAAUGCCGUGGGUUCGUCGCAGGAAGUUAGGGUAUAAGGGGUACAUCUCAUCGUCGAUAUAGGUAAUCGGGGAGGAGAGGGGAGGAAGGUGGUCGAGCCACAAACGAGAGAGCGUUGAAGCGAGUUGAAGGUCACCGUUAUCGUCUCCGUCGCCCGUCGGGCGCUAGCUAGGAACGACCCAGGCGCCCACCCUAGCUCCUACAGCCUAGUCUACCUAAGGCCGUAUUUCGAGAAGCCCGCCCACUAGGGCAACCAAGGACUGCGACGCGGGCCCGGCGGCCUUCGCCUCCGCUGCCGGCCGAGGCUUGUGGGUGGCGGCGGCGGCGGCGGCCGCAGCCUCCGGCUCGGUCUCCGACUAUUAUUAUUCCUUGUUGUGUUUCUUUGCCUUCUGUUUCCACUAUCGCUUUACUUCCACCUACGCGGUCUUCUCUUUCUUCUAUCACGUUACUUCCCACUACUUGGUUCUCUCUCUUUUCUGUUGCUUUACCUCCAACUACGUGGUGUUCGGUUUCUUUUACGUCUUUGUCGGUCAAGCAGAUGGAACCUGGUAUUCUUUCUACUGGUCCGGGUCUAUUCGUUAUGACUUCUCUUUCGUCGCAGUCUGGGAUUCCUCCUCUUACUCUUCUUUAGUUUACUGCUUAGUCCGGUCCAAUUCCACGAGUUCUUCGGUCUAUUCUAAUAUGGAACGGGAGCCACGUUGUCGUACCUAUGUUUCAAGACAAUAAUGUUGUUGAUGUUACAAUUAGUCGGAUCCGUGAAGACAUUCUUAACGGUUUCCAUAACCUGACGUCCCCCCUCAUACUCCUUGCAUGGACAACCACGACCCUCCGCGUUUUCGUUCUUAAGUCGCGACGUGAUGGCAGUCAACAACUACCGGGGACUAACAGAUGACCCCAGAUCUCAUGUGUAGAGAUUGUGUCACUUGGGUCUUCAGGAACGUAGAGAUGGAAGGUAGGGCUGUGUUAGUCGGUCAUCUUCACUUUGUCAAGAGUUCAAACCCGGACUCCACGGUGAAACACUUAGCUACCAUAGCCACGACUUGUAACUUCUUGUCUUACACUGGUUACGACCUAGGCAUGGUUCUCUACUCUGGUCCCUUCUAUUGAGCACGUGUAGCAGAUGGUGUAGUUUGUUACCUAAUGGACGUUUGCGUCAGGACGGACCAGUCUUGCCUCGUGGACAAAUGACAUUACCCCAACCAGGCCACGGAGUCAUAAUGGAACCUCGAGGAAAGUACAUGGGUACCUCGUACCCCACCUUAUUGGAAGGACAUUACCACGGCCCACCUUCAUACGGGCUCAGACGAAGAGGUAGUCUUUCGACGUCGUGAUCAAGCCGCGGUACCUACUUGAGAGGGUACUACGGUCCGAGUUCCGAAGGACGUGGGGGCAAAGGUAUAGGAGAACAAGGCGGACGGGAGACCCCAACGAAUGGUUUGACCGGUCGGCGCCGUACCUUGUGUGGUACCUAGCCCUGGUUACCCACGUAUAGAGGCAGACCCAGUUCGUUGUCGUCGACAAGUCCGUUACCCAGAGGAUGAGACCCCUUCGUAAGAUCCCUGAGGUUAGGUGUCUUUCUACUGUUCCUCCUCUUUAGUGACACCCAAGGGUUCUGUGAGGCGUAGCUACUAGGGCUGCUCCGUCGUUUCUCAAGGUAUACCCGUUGAGAACCGUAGUUUGGACCUCUGGGACCGCGGAAGUUCGGAAAAGUCAAGUUCCCACUCUCGUUCCCGGUCGGUCGUCUACGUGCGGGACGGGCACGAAAUGUCCGCUUGGGGCGUCGCAAAAGAGCCAGCGUCAGUAAGGUCCUCUCGAGAAUUUGACUACCGACGACGGAUAGAUUAUGUAAAACCGUUGUGUCGAACAGGACAUCAUUUUAAACAUGUAUUAUCAUAUCGAGACGCUAUACCCUUUUCUGGUUUCCUCUCGAAAAACUUAUCGGUGACUGGACGUCACCUCGAACGUUUCUCGAAAGUACUCUUGAAUGAACUCUCCACACAUGACAUUUAUAAACUGUUUGACCAAUAGAUAUUGUUACAUUAAUCCAAUUCAGUCCUCAUGUUAGUGGACCAAACGGUGAGGAUAAUAAAGCCACGCCCAACAUUGUUAAAUUGCAACGAUGACUACUUCUGAUAAAUAUCAUGAUAGUUAUUUGUCAAACUCUACAGCUCGAGUCAAUGAGGAAAGGUCUAUUAAUAAGGUCACAAAGUGCCAUGUACAUUAGGCGG
rnacentral:rRNA from 1 species